CGCGGAAACUGGUAAAUUUGAAAAUUUUGAGUUAUUGAACCAAAAAAUUUACUUAAAAAUUAAUAAUUUCUGAAAACGAAUGUGAAAAAGUGGUUUGCUGCGUAUGCGCAGCUGACGGCUGCCGCUAAGUCUGCUUCGAUCCUCGAUCAUAACAUUAGCCUAAUCUCUAUCAAACUACGUGAUUGUUGUACGUGAUUUUAAUAUAUUUGUCAAGUAUCAAUUCAUAUAACAAAAUGCCGAAACACAACAUUCAUCACGCGAAAGGAAAGAGGAAAAGCAAAUUUGCUAAACAAAAGGUUGUACAAGGGCUUAAAAAUAAUUUGGAUGCAAUAUCCGAAGCAGGAAAACUGAAAUCUCAAAUGAAGUGCUUGGUUGCCCAAACAAGUUACUUAAUGUAAUGAAAAUUAAUAUACUAAGAGGAAAAAGCUGCUCAUGUAAGACGAGUUGUAGAAAUUGAUACUUUGGCAGCAGAAAUGUGGUAUAAAGAUUGUCAAAUACCAAUAUCAUUUAGAAAUGUAACUGGUGAAACCCAAAAAGGAUUGGCUAGUGUAUUAGAUGUUACCUGCAUAAAAUGUAAUUCACUGUGUGCUGUACAUACCAAUGUAUAUAACCCAGUUAAUAAAAGCUAUGAAGUGAAUGGUAAAUUAGCUUUUGGAAUGAUUGAUGCAAGUGUUGGCGAAUGUCACAUUAAUACUGUAUUGUCAGCAACUGAUGUACCAACAGUAUUACCAACAACAAUGAAAAAGUAUGAACGACAAGUUGGUGUUGCUCAAGAAUCAUGUCUUGAAGCUGUACGACUAGAAAAGCAGAUGACCUUAAAGAAUGAGUCAAUAGAAAACAAGUAAGACUUACAGUAUUUAAUAAAAGUGAAAAUUAAUUGCACAUCUCUUGAUGCCGGUUGAUGCUGUAAAAUGAAAUGCAUUCAUCAAUAGAUGAGUUAUGCUAAUGCUAAGAUAGUGAAUCAUGGAAAAAAAAGAAAUUGUAUACUAUUAAUUGUUAAAGAUGUAUGCUAUUGGAAUAAGUUACAACUAAAACUACAUGAGCCAUUGUAUUGUGCUAUUUUCAUGAAAAUUGUACGUAUGCAAAUAAUGUUGACUUAAUUUUCUGUUAUUUUUGUUUUACUAUGAUUGUUAUUUAUAUAAUGUUAAAGAAAAUUAUUUACAUAUUUACAAAGUGAUAUUUACAUAUUUAUAAUUUGAUUUUUACAAAAUUUCAAUCAUGUACUUACUUAUACGUCUACAAUUGUCAAGAAAUUUCUUUACAUAUGUACAAUUUGAAAUGUCGUUUAUGUAUAUAUUUAAAUAAGUUUUAGAGUGUAUUCUUUUGUAUAUUUUCAUUAUAUGUACAGGGUGUUCCAUUUUAAAGGAACCACCCCGAAAUUUUCGACGGUUGGCGUUGUACAAA